UUAUCACUGUCAUGUUUGCCCAAUGACCAAAUCAAAAAAGAUUUAUUAAAGUUGAACAAUGAAGAACACAAGAACCAAUUGCAACUAUACUAUGUUUCAAAUCAGUGAGAAGUAUCAUUACUCCACAGGUGCCCUUUGAGAAAUUUGGAAGUAUUAAAUUCAGAAGUAUUAGGCUAUGCGAUCACUCGUUUUAUUACCAUUAUGCAGAAAAUUUUCAAGUGUUUUAGCUCUCUGUUUAUCCUUUAUCUUGCCAUUUGCUAUUUGAUGUUUCCAGCCAACUACUGCCUGACUACCUUGUUUCCUCUGUAACAAAAUGCCAUACAUACAACCUCUAUCUUUGAUCAAUAAACUGAUCACAAGAUAACUACCAUUUUGAGCUAACAUUUACAGAUCUCUUACAGCAUCUCUGUUUCCAUUGCUUGAGAUACAAAGGGAUGGAUGUCAGCACGUCUGCUUUGGUUGAUGGAGUUGCCGAAUGCACAAAUGAAGAGAUCAUACAAACAAGUCGCCAAGUGGAGCCAAGUGUUUCCACGGUGUUGAUGAAUUUUUCCAAUGACUUUGAUCCUUAUGAGGCUUUAAGCACACCUCUAUAUCAAACAGCAACUUUCAAGCAGCCUUCAGCUACGGAACCUGGAACUUAUGAUUAUACAAGAAUUGGAAAUCUUUGCAUUACUCUCAGGCGAAGGGUGCAGGAUCCGUGCUGAGCUUCUUAACGGGGUCGCUGGCUCUCUCCAAGCACGUCGUUGAGACGACAAAGUAUUUCAGCAUAACCGUGAGUUUCGGGAGCGUCAAGUCCCUCAUCAGCUUGCCCUGCUUCAUGUCUCAUGCAAGCAUACCUGCAGCGGUACGCGAGGCGCGAGGUCUGACCGAGGAUCUCGUGCGUGUAUCCGUCGGGAUCGAAGAUGCCGACGACCUCAUCUCCGAUCUCGAGCACGCCCUACGGACGGGGCCUGCGUAGCUUGCCUCCGCAUAUAUAAAAGCAGAAUUGCUUAGCAGAAAUAUUUUUCCGCCAUUUUGCUUAACCCCAUAUUUAGAAGGGUUCUUUCAAAUAAUGCAUGAACCAUUGACUUUGUUUAUUAUUUAUCUAUUUAAUUUUCCAUUUAUCCAAA